rnacentral:rRNA from 1 species
CGUAAUCCGGGUUGCGGACAGUGUCUGGUGGGUAGUUUGACUGGGGCGGUCUCCUCCUAAAGAGUAACGGAGGAGCACGAAGGUUGGCUAAUCCUGGUCGGACAUCAGGAGGUUAGUGCAAUGGCAUAAGCCAGCUUGACUGCGAGCGUGACGGCGCGAGCAGGUGCGAAAGCAGGUCAUAGUGAUCCGGUGGUUCUGAAUGGAAGGGCCAUCGCUCAACGGAUAAAAGGUACUCCGGGGAUAACAGGCUGAUACCGCCCAAGAGUUCAUAUCGACGGCGGUGUUUGGCACCUCGAUGUCGGCUCAUCACAUCCUGGGGCUGAAGUAGGUCCCAAGGGUAUGGCUGUUCGCCAUUUAAAGUGGUACGCGAGCUGGGUUUAGAACGUCGUGAGACAGUUCGGUCCCUAUCUGCCGUGGGCGCUGGAGAACUGAGGGGGGCUGCUCCUAGUACGAGAGGACCGGAGUGGACGCAUCACUGGUGUUCGGGUUGUCAUGCCAAUGGCACUGCCCGGUAGCUAAAUGCGGAAGAGAUAAGUGCUGAAAGCAUCUAA